GCAUUCCUGGGCUGUUUUUUUUUUCAACAGCUACCUUUUUAUUACUUAAUUGAUAUUUGUGGAGUGAGGAUGUCUGGUUCGAGAAAGCGAGAUUUUAGUUGAAAAGACCAAUGAUUGGGAUUGCGCCUGUCUAGAUUUGGAAGACGAUGGGCUGGAUGGAAUACUUUCCCAGUCAUUGGAUUUGUUUGCAGAGCGGAGAAUUUCACUGGAAAGGCCAAAUCAGAUAGACAGUGUCAGUGAGCGGCGAUGUAAUGCACCUGGGAAAAGCACGUUGGAUAGAAAAGGUGAAAAUUGUCUUAGCUAAGUUUUGUUUAAAAGUUAGUAACAAGCAUUAAUCAUAGCGAUUAAUAUUUGAAUUUAUUUAUAUUUUGCAAUAGAAUUUUGCAAUAGAAGUUACAAGGUAUGGUUAAGUGAAUAAUGGAGAAAGCGGGUGUAAAUGGGCACUUUACUAAUCAUUCAUUGCGCGCCACAGCCGUGUCGAGGUUAUUUCGUGAAGGCGUUGAUGAUAAGCUGAUAAAGGGGGUUACUGGGCAUCGUUCCGAGGCUCUCGAUUGUUAUAAGCGAGAAACAGAGGAGCAGCAUGCAAAUGUCUCGAAAAUCGUGCAAGGUAUAUCACGUCAGAGAAGGGUGCAACGGCGGAAAGUAGCGCGCCAAUAGAGAAGGGUGAUGAUGGAAUGGGGUCGGUUGUUUUAAAUAUUAGUCGCGGCAAUUGCAAGAAUUCAAGACUCAUGCCAGGUCUUGAAUUGAAAAUGUAAAACCAGGUAACUGGUUAUUAUUUUUUCGUAAUAAACCGGGUAGCAGGUUAUUACGGAAAA